rfam:Brachypodium distachyon strain Bd21 chromosome 1, whole genome shotgun sequence.
AGUAUACUCCCUCCGUCUCAUAUUAAGUGUCACAACUUUAUCUAGAUAUGCAUGUGCUUACACACUAAAACUUAUUUAGAUACAUGCUUGUCUAAAUAAAAUUGUCAACUUAAUAUGGGACGGAGGGAGUAAAAA